CAGUGAUCAGAGACACGUUCUGUACACCUGGCUGUGACUCAUGCCUCCUGUUCAGCCAGAAGAUAGUGGAACUUGAAGCCAGAAUAGCAACUCUCCACCAGAUCAAGGUGAAUGAACAGUUCCUCGACACCAUUAUCAUCGGAAGUACCCCUCACACACACACUAAUAUCGGAUGUCUUGAUUCCACUCUGCCCUGCACUACUAAUACAAUCUCUGUCCCUGUUGCCUCUC